rnacentral:rRNA from 1 species
UACAGAGGUGGCAAGCGUUGUUCGGAAUUACUGGGCGUAAAGCGCGUGUAGGCGGCUCUUCAAGUCAGGCGUGAAAGCCCCGGGCUCAACUCGGGAACUGCGCUUGAUACUGUCGAGCUAGAGUGUGGAAGGGGCGAUUGGAAUUCCGUGUGUAGCGGUGAAAUGCGUAGAUAUACGGAGGAACACCAGGGGCGAAGGCGGAUCGCUGGGCCAACACUGACGCUGAGACGCGAAAGCUAGGGUAGCAAACGGG